ACGUCACUGGGCUAUUGUCGCCGUUUCGUUGUUUUUCCCGAGUCGCGCGGCGCGAACGCGAGCUCGUAGCCCACCAGAACGAGUCCAUACGGGCAUGCGAACAGAAGCGGAAGCAGCCCAAGUAUAUUUUUAUAUAGUGCGAUUAGUGGACUGUAAAAGGUAAAAUCGUUUGUGCUCUAUAUAAUAAGUAAAACGAAACUCAAAAUAUUUUCUCGCCCCACCUGGAAAUACGUGGAGACGAGGGCGUCAUUACAGACGCGGCGGAUCGACACGACACAGGGUCGUGGCUCGAUUGCAUCGAAAGGUGCGACACCGCGCACGAGGCACGGAAGCUUCACAAAACAACCCUAAAAUGCAAUGGCUGAUCUGGUACGAGUAAACUAUUGUCAGAUAUAUGAAAAAUCAACGUUGGGCAUUUUAUUUUCAGUAACUCCUGCUUGCACAAGUCACCAUUUUGCUUGUGGUACAAUCUAAACAUAGUGUCUAACCAUCUCGACAUAGUCUGUUUGAUGUAAUCUUCACCAUAAAAUGUCGUCAUAACUUUCUUCAUAUAGUUUAUAACCUUGUCAAUGACCACUGUAGCUAGACGACAAUAUUUCAUGAAGAGUUAUUUUAUAAAAUAACUUAAAACAAAAUCCUCUUAUGUUAGCUUCGAAUACUGAAAAUAUACAUAAUGUGUACCUUGGA